AAACAUUUCUAUUAAAUAUAAUUAAUAGUAAAAUCUGCUCAAUGAAACUAAAUAGCCGCAAUAUGUGCUAAGGUAGUACAAUAACUCGUCUUUUAAUUAAAGACUACACAAAAGAUUUAACAUUUUAAGAAAUAUAAAUAUCUAAAUAUUUAAAUUUUACAAAUUUGUAAAAAAACAAUUAUACGAAAAAAAGACGAUAAGACCCUACUGAACUUAACUUAAGUUAAACUGGGGUAGUUGAUUAAAUACAUCUUAAUUUAAAUAUAUUUAUAUAAGACCUAUUAUAAAUAAACAAAAAGUCAAGUUACCAUAGGGAUAACAGCGUUACAACUCUUAAAGAUCUAAUUUUAAAAGAAAUCUGCGACCUCGAUGUUGAAUUAAUUUACUAGUUCACGCAAUAGUGAAAAAAGAAAGUCUGUUCGACUUUUAAAUAAUUACAUGAUCU
rnacentral:rRNA from 1 species